UUAACACAGGUCGUUAAGUUGAUGCAGUAGACGAAUCAAGUUUACAUUAGCAGUCAUUACUAAAAAUCAUUAGUAAACAUAAAUAAUUUUUUUCUGCAGUCAUGUUGUCUAAAAUGAGCACGUUAAGGUAGGGCUUUAGUGCGUAACUUUUUUGAUAUUA